rnacentral:rRNA from 1 species
GCGGAUUAGACCCGAAACCGGGUGAUCUAUCCAUGAGCAGGUUGAAGCAAGGGUAAAGCCUUGUGGAGGACCGAACAGUCAACGGCUGAAAACGUUUCUGAUGACUUGUGGAUAGGGGUGAAAGGCCAAUCAAACCCGGUGAUAGCUGGUUCUCCCCGAAAUAUAUUGAGGUAUAGCCUCAGGGAUUGUCUAACGGAGGUAAAGCACUGAAAAAGCUAGGGGUCCUACCAGAUUACCAAACUUUAUCAAACUCAGAAUACCGUGUAGAUGUACCCUGGGAGUCAGACAGCGGGUGCUAAGGUCCGUUGUCGAGAGGGUAAGAGCCCAGAUCAACAGCUAAGGUCUCCAAAUACAUACUCAGUGGUCAAGGUGGUGGGGUUGUUUAGACAGCCAGGACGUUGGCUUAGAAGCAGCCAUCGUUUAAAGAAAGCGUAAUAGCUCACUGGUCUAAUGACUCUGCGCCGAAAAUGUAACGGGGCUAAGUAUGUUACCGAAGCUUUGAAUUGCACUUUAUGUGUUCUGGUAGGGGAGCGUUCUCUUGUAGGCUGAAGGUGUGUCGUAAGGCAUGCUGGACGAAAGAGAAGUGAUUAUGCUGACAUGAGUAACGAUAAAACAGGUGAAAAACCUGUUCGCCGAAAACCCAAGGUUUUCCGGGUAAAGUUAAUCUUCCCGGAGUUAGUCGGCCCCUAAGGCGAGAGCGAAAGCUGUAGCUGAUGGGAAACGGGUUAAUAUUCCCGUACUUUUAUGAUUGUGCGAUGGAGGGACGCAGGAAGAUAGGCUAUCCGGCUGUUGGAUGCCGGUGCAAGUGUGUAGGAGCAGGAUACAGGCAAAUCCGUAUCCCGAGUCUGAGACACGAGUCCGUGGGCGCAAGCCCUGAAGUAGUUGAGUCUAUGCUGCCAAGAAAAGCUUCUCAGUUUAGGUCAUAAAAACCGUACUGCAAACCAACUCAGGUGGGUGGGAUGAAUAAUCCAAGGCGCUCGAGAGAAUUCUGGCCAAGGAACUCGGCAAAAUAACCCCGUAACUUCGGAAGAAGGGGUGCUCCUUAUUGUGAUAUAUUUGCUUAUGUAGCAUUGAGGAGCCGCAGUGAAUUGGUGGUGGCGACUGUUUACUAAAAACAUAGGUCUGUGCGAAGUCGCAAGACGACGUAUACGGACUGACGCCUGCCCGGUGCUGGAAGGUUAAAAGGAGGGGUCAGCGCAAGCGAAGCUCCGAAUUGAAGCCCCAGUAAACGGCGGCCGUAACUAUAACGGUCCUAAGGUAGCGAAAUUCCUUGUCGGGUAAGUUCCGACCUGCACGAAUGGCGUAACGAUCUCCACACUGUCUCGGCCAGAAACUCGGUGAAAUUGAAGUCGCGGUGAAAAUGCCGUGUACCCGCAGAAAGACGGAAAGACCCUGUGCACCUUUACUAUAGCUUGACAUUGGAUUUUGGGCCUACAUGUGUAGGAUAGGUGGGAGACUGUGAAAUAUGUACGCCAGUAUGUGUGGAGUCAUCCUUGAAAUACCACCCUUGUAUGUCUAAGGUCCUAACGUGACGCCGUGAUCCGGCUCACAGACAGUGUCUGGUGGGUAGUUUGACUGGGGCGGUCGCCUCCUAAAGAGUAACGGAGGCAUACAAAGGUUCCCUCAGGCUGUUUGGAAAUCAGCCGUCGAGUGCAAACGCAUAAGGGAGCUUGACUGUAAGAGAGACAUUUCGAGCAGAUACGAAAGUAGGUGUUAGUGAUCCGGUGGUCCCGUAUGGAAGGGCCAUCGCUCAUUGGAUAAAAGGUACGCCGGGGAUAACAGGCUGAUCGCAUCCAAGAGUUCAUAUCGACGAUGCGGUUUGGCACCUCGAUGUCGGCUCAUCACAUCCUGGGGCUGAAGCAGGUCCCAAGGGUACGGCUGUUCGCCGUUUAAAGUGGUACGCGAGCUGGGUUUAAAACGUCGUGAGACAGUUUGGUCCCUAUCUUCUGUGGGCGUAGGAAAAUUGAAAGGGCCUGUUCCUAGUACGAGAGGACCGGAAUGGACGCACCUCUGGUGGACCUGUUGUCGUGCCAACGGCACAGCAGGGUAGCUAUGUGCGGAAGGGAUAACCGCUGAAAGCAUCUAAGCGGGAAGCCUGCCUUAAGAUAAGUUUUCCCUGAAGGACCGAUGCAGACUACAUCGUUGAUAGGCCGGAGGUGUAAGUAUAGCGAUAUAUUUAGCUGACCGGUACUAAUAGUCCGAUUGUCUUGUUUCA